GAUGAACGCUAGCUGCAGGCUUAACACAUGCAAGUCGAGGGACCGGCGCACGGGUGAGUAACACGUAUACAACCUGCCCUUUACUCGGGGAUAGCCUGUCGAAGGAGAGAUUAAUACCCGAUAUAAAGGCUGGGGAUGGGUUCCAUUAGGUUGUUGGUGAGGUAACGGCUCACCAAGCCUUCGAUGGCUAGGGGUGCGGAUAGGAAGGUCCCCCACAUUGGAACUGAGACACAGACCCAAAGCCUACGCGAGGCAGCAGUGAGGAAUAUUGUGAAAUGGGCGCUAGCCUGAACCAGCCAAGUAGAUUGAAGGAUGAAGGGUUAUGUGUCGUAAACUACUGUUAUAGAAGAAUAGGUAUUAUAUGAAUAAGGAUCGGCUAACUCCGUGCCAGCAGCCGCGGUAAUUC
rnacentral:rRNA from 1 species